AAACAAGAAAUAUAUAUAUAUAAUUUUACUGACAAAAAUUGGUCAAAACUGGAAUUCUAAUUUUGUUCAAUUAGACAAAAUUGCAACAAAUAUGAUGAAAUUGUCCAAAAUUGAAACUGUUGGACUAAUUGCAAAUUUGUGAAAAGGUUUUGACUUUUUUUAUUGUCAGGCAUAAUUUCUUAAAGCAAGGGUAUUCAGUAAUCUGCUUCCUUUAGCAAGGAUGGGCUGAAGGUUGUAUUAUUGGGAUGACAAAUAACAUCUAAGAAAUUCUAGAAGUUACCAAUGGAAAAGGCAAAAUGCUUAAUCACCAAGUAUUGAUUUGCAUUCUUUUAGAACGUAACAAAGUCAAACUGCAGCAUUCAUUAAAAUUACAGUUUUUAGUUGUAAAAUAUGAGAAUAAGGGUAGAAACAACCUUAUGGCUCCUUGAACACGCA
rnacentral:misc_RNA from 1 species